GUGCAUCCCCAUCGCUGGCUCGCCGCCGCUAGUGCAUAGGAGGAAGUGGGGAACAUCCAGCAAUCUGCAUCCGCUAGUAGAGCGCCGUCGUCCUCGUCCCCAUCCCUGGCGAAGGACUGAAUCCAGGCGCUGGCAGCCUCGAUCUGGCCCGGCUGCAAUGAUGUACGUGCAGGCUGCAUCGAUCUGGGACAGCUUUGAUCUGUGACCGAGCAUCCUCAACUUGGUCGACUCCUAAUCUCCGCCGCCACCGACGCUUCUUGUCUUCUCUACCAGUCUAUAGGAUCAUCUGAUUCUAUUGUAUGAACAAUAAGUCAGAUGAAGCGACUAGCCGACUACUGUGCGAUCUGAACAUAUGAAGCGACCUACUCUCCUGGCUGUUGCAGUGCUUCUGGUCGGUCGGCAGCGGUUGUUCAUGAUAUAGCUGAGAAGUUAUGCUGGUAUCACUACAAAGGAAUAAUUCAGGAAGCAGAUCACUGAACUUUCAAUGAAGCUUUAGCUGGAUGGAGUUAUGCUUGGCAUGUUGAGUCCUUUUUUCACUAGUAUAAUGCCCGUGCUAACGCCACGGUUUUUUCUAGGGAAUGCUAUAGUAAUUUUUUUAGAGUUCUAAUUUUGGAUAAUUAUUUUUAAGUCUAUAUAUAUUUUAUGAAUCAUCAGUACAUAAAGACAUCUUUAUAUUUUUUCUAACUUUUUAAUCAAAUAUUGGAUAUCUUCAGGAAUGUUGUCGUUGCACUCGUUUGCAGGACUCACCAAAAUUUCAGCCAAGAACUCGGUCCUUAGUGAUCUUGAUAGCUGUGAAUGACAGAUAAUAUUUUGUCAAUAUUUAAUCGUUCAUUGACGCAAAUAUAGUUGGAGACUGCAUGUGCUUACAUUAUUUAUUGACAGCAAUCUCGCGUUGUUUCCUCUUGCUCUCUUCCCUUUCUUCUUCAGUCAUCCUACGAUGAUACUCACGUUGUCUCCUAUUUAUCUCCUCCCUUUGUUCAUUGAAAAUC